rnacentral:rRNA from 1 species
UACGUAUGGUGCAAGCGUUAUCCGGAUUUACUGGGUGUAAAGGGAGCGCAGGCGGCACGGCAAGCCUGACGUGAAAGCCCGCGGCCCAACCGCGGGACUGCAUUGGGAACUACCGGGCUGGAGUGCCGGAGAGGUAGGCGGAAUUCCUAGUGUAGCGGUGAAAUGCGUAGAUAUUAGGAGGAACACCAGUGGCGAAGGCGGCCUACUGGACGGUGACUGACGCUGAGGCUCGAAAGCGUGGGGAGCAAACAGG